GUUGACUGCGUCCCCGAAUGACAGCGUUCGGCUGUGACCUUUGGUCGAAUAACUGAUUGUUUCCUUCGUCGCGUGUCACUGUUGUGCUGCGAGUGCAGUGCCGCGGGAACAGUGGCGAGGCGUUGCGUGGCGCGGGCGACAGUGAUUGUGUUCUGUCCACGGGGCCCAGGCUUCCACGGGGCGAGUGUGUGACCACGGCGAAGUGCGAGGACCGCCAACGGAUGUGGGCAGGGUUUAUGCCUGUUAGUCAGGUCACUGUUCCUCCGUGGACUUCCGCUGGGCUGAGGAGUGUGACAUCCGGGAGGCUUGUGUCUUAUGUCUGCAAGAGACAGGCGGUGGCUGGAGCACAAGUGAAAAUCCUCACGUCCUCUACAAUGGAGAAUCACCAGCGAUCAAAAAAGCCUGAAGAGAACUUGGAGGCCCUGAAAGCUGCCAUGACUGUAGAGGACAGAGAGUGUUUCAGCUCCAGCACCGCCGACAUGGAAGCUGAACAACCUCCUCCCUGCCUCCAUAUUUCACUGAUGAUGAAAGAA